rnacentral:rRNA from 1 species
UGAGGAAUAUUGGUCAAUGGACGGAAGUCUGAACCAGCCAAGUAGCGUGCAGGAUGACGGCCCUCCGGGUUGUAAACUGCUUUUAGUUGGGAAUAAAAAGAGGGACGUGUCCCUAAUUGUAUGUACCUUCAGAAAAAGGACCGGCUAAUUCCGUGCCAGCAGCCGUGGUAAUACGGAAGGUCCAGGCGUUAUCCGGAUUUAUUGGGUUUAAAGGGAGCGUAGGCGGAUUAUUAAGUCAGUGGUGAAAGACGGUGGCUCAACCAUCGUUAGCCAUUGAAACUGGUAGUCUUGAGUGCAGACAGGGAUGCUGGAACUCGUGGUGUAGCGGUGAAAUGCUUAGAUAUCACGAUGAACUCCGAUCGCGAAGGCAGGUGUCCGGGCUGCAACUGACGCUGAGGCUCGAAAGUGUGGGUAUCAAACAGG